CUUUCCAUUGACUUCCAUUCAUUUCUAAACUCUUUCUCUAAUCGGAACCAAAACUCAAUUCACACCUUAGUCCUAAAUCUGACCCUUGACCCACAAACAGUGUUACAAACGCACACACACAGGCUGCAGCGCCCCCUACUGGGCGGACUUUGACUGGUCCGUUUAUGAAUGAAGCAGCCCAAUCAGAACACACCAGAACCUGUGGACUCAAGUCAGAACUCUGAAUGAAAGAAGAGCUGGAUCCAUUUCAGGUCAGAACCCGUGUCACUGCUGGACCGGGCCGGUUCCGCUCAGAACCAGGGCCCCCAGCAUUCAUGGAGGCGGCUGGUGGGGGUCCAGCAGACGGUUCUGAUGAUGGCGGCUCCAGUAAACAUCAGAACCAAACCACCACAGAGCUUUCCAGAACAGAACCAGCUGAUCAAAAAAAACAACAAUCAGAAUAAAGGUUUGGACCAUCUGCUGCCUCCAUGUUGGGUGUGACAUCAUCACAACCAACAUGGAGGAUAAAAAUAGCAGCUCUGAAGCUACUUGUUUACUCUUUAAAUUGAUUUAAACUGCUGGCUCGUCCAAUCACAGCAGCAGAAGCUGCUGGCUCGUCCAAUCACAGCAACAGAAGCUGCUGGCUCGUCCAAUCACAGCAGCAGAAGCUGCUGGCUCGUCCAAUCACAGGAGCAGAAGCUGCUGGCUCGUCCAAUCACAGCAACAGAAGCUGCUGGCUCGUCCAAUCACAGCAGCAGAAGCUGCUGGCUCGUCCAAUCACAGCAACAGAAGCUGCUGGCUCGUCCAAUCACAGCAGCAGAAGCUGCUGGCUCGUCCAAUCAGGAGCAGAAGCUUUCAGCACCUGUUCGUGACAGCAGGUGAAAACAGUCCUCUGAUCAGAACCGACUUGGUUCUGUUGGGCUCGGCGCUGUGGUACUCUGUGUGGUUUUGUUCGGCUCUGGACUCGGGUUGUUCUGUCUCCGGUUCUCCUGCGGUCUAGCAGAACCUGCUCACCUGUCUACCAGGUGAGUCCUGGGGCCCAACAGAUGCAGUGACAGCAUCAGUCCAGCAGAUGGCAGCAGGACUCUCCAGAACUUCCAGAAGGAGCAACAGAACCGGGUCAGAGUUCUGUUCACUCUGGGAGGCUUUUAUUGUGAAAGGACAGGUUCAUCUCUAAUCAGAUUCCAAGUUAUUUCCAGGUUGGUUCCUGUUUUUUUUUUUUACAUCUUUAUUAACAAUCUUGGAAACAUUAACGUUGUACACAAACAUAAGAAAAUAAAUGAUAAGAAAAGAAAUUUGCCAGUCAGGAUUUUAUACUGACAAGAAAUUUAUCUACAGAGAAUUGUAAGAUAUUAAAUUUGCGUAAUAAAUUUACAGUUUUCAUGGCUUUUGGAUUAUUAGAACAAUAAUGUGAUGAUUGUAUCAAAUCAAGUCUUUAAUGACGAUAGAGAAUAAAGGUUGUUUUUCGCUGAACUUGUUUAUCUAUAAAGAAUUUAAUAAGAAGUGAAAUGAGGUUGAUGACAAAAAGAAUCAGUUUUCUUGUCAAAAGCAGUAAAGCCAGAAUAACCAUUUCAUAACUGAGAGUUUGGGGGGAAAAGGUUCAUGAUUUCAUCCCAGGGGUUUUGGUGUCACUCCAAAACAAAUGAUUCAUGUGUUCAUCCUGAGACAGAAAGAGCAAAAUGCACCAAUUUAACCCUAACCCACCAUUUACUGUUUGGCUGGGCAGCAUCUGUGCACAAGUUUAUAAGAACAUCUUUAACUUUGUUAGUUGGGACCAAACCGUCUCCUGGUGGGACCAUCAGGAACCUGGUCCAGCAGCACAGGGAGAAAUGAUCAGCUGUUGGAAAAGAGAACAUAUUUUCUUGUUUUAGGAUUUAGGAUCCAGACAAACUUUAGCAACAGAAGUGUCCAUUAAAUUGUCUGAGGCGGUUCUGGUUUCUGAUUGAUGAUGCCUUCAGAACCAUAACCAGGCCAGAGGGAAUGAUUGGAUCCAGCAGCUUCUGGAAACUUAAGAUGAGACAGAAAUCCACUGUGUUGUCUACAAAGAGAGGAGAGGCCAAAUAAACCAAACUAGAAGCCCUUCACAUCUGUUCAACCCGGUUCUGGUUCUGGUAUCAGCAGGAGAUUCCAACACAUCUGCUUUUAUCAUUUUUGUUGGUGGUGAUUCCGAAGUAUACAACAUUCUGCUUUAUGUUGCUUAUAGGAUAGAACAGAAUCCUUUGUAGCAAAAAGUUCAAAUUUAUUGACAUUUAGAAAGAAACUAGAAUCUGAAUAAUAUCAAAGGCUGGAGGAACUUGUUCAGAGUUCCGCAAAAAAGUGUAGUUUCGUCUGCUAGUGUUGUAGUGAGACCGGUCUUGGUCUCCAGACUUUUUGAUGGUCUCGGGAUUUUAUUUCAAGACCACAACUGUGAAAAUGUCACUAAAUUGCCAGCAUAGUAUCAAUUUAUUUGUCAACAUCCUUGUUUUUACUGGAUGCAAAACAUACCGAUUAAAAUCAAAGCAAUAACGCGACUUAAUAAUGACGUGUUUCUGUUUCCGCCGUCAGCCAUCGCCUCCCCUUUAACUCGCGCGCGGCGCUCUGACACAUGCGCAGUGGUUUCUUCUGAGGGCAGAAGUCCGUCUAAUAGUCAUAAAUUUACCUACAUAAAUCAUAAGAAAGCUUAUAAUCACGUAUAAAUUCGGCUUUCACAGACGGCGGGACUACGACUAACUUUUAUCGUCACUUAGAAAAGAAGCUCAAAGAAAGGUAAACUUUGACAACUAUGAAGCAGUUCUGUCAUUUGUCCUUGUGAACAACAAUCACUGGAAGUUGCUGUACAUCAAUGCAGAAGCCAGAACUGUAUUCCUAAUAGAUCCUGCACAAGUAUCAUCUGAGCUUGUGGACUCCCAAAAGGCAGCUAAAAGAAUACAAGAAUACUUCAAAAUGAGAAGGACAUGCCAUGGAAAAACAGACUGGGUUGGGAUCCAAUGGAAAGGGGGGACAAUGCGCCACCCUAUUCAACAAGACGGAAGCAGCUGUGGAGUUAUUGUAGUCAAAAUGGCAAAAGCACUGAUGGAAGCCUUCCCUCUGAUGCCAGAUGUAGAUUUUGACACAACAAAAAAGGCAAUGAAAAGUGAAAGAAGAACUCUCGCUCUUCAAAUCCUUGAUGCAUCAGUAUUUGAUGACCACUGUUGGUGUGCGAUGUGCGCUGCAUACAAAGCCCCGGGGUCUGGCCCUGGAAUGACAGACUGGAUCCAGUGUGACAACUGUGACCGAUGGUACCAUGCCCUGUGCAUAAAUAUGAAGAGCACAGAAUUUCAAAAGAAAAAAACAGGCAGUUGGAAAUGUGUAUUGUGUAGUUAAUCUGAAAACUAGAAACUGUGUUCAUUAUUGUUCGAAAUACGUUUUGAAAAUAUCUGUGGAAAAUGAAAAUGUAAUAUGUUUGUGUGGCAUUGAUGCUAUGUGUGAUGUAUAAAGUGUACUGGAAUCAUUUCAAA